rnacentral:rRNA from 1 species
CCUACGGGUGGCAGCAGUGGGGAAUAUUGGGCAAUGGAGGAAACUCUGACCCAGCAAUGCCGCGUGAAUGAAGAAGGUCUUCGGAUUGUAAAGUUCUUUAGUCAGGGAAGAAUAAAAUGACGGUACCUGAAGAAUAAGCUCCGGCUAACUACGUGCCAGCAGCCGCGGUAAUACGUAGGGAGCAAGCGUUGUUCGGAAUGACUGGGCGUAAAGGGUGCGUAGGCGGUUCUACAAGUUAGAAGUGAAAUACUCAGGGCUUAACUCGGGUGCUGCUUCUAAAACUGUAAGACUUGAGUGCAGUAGAGGGUAGUGGAAGUCCAAGUGAAGAGGGGGAAUGCGUAGAUAUUAGGAGGAAAACCAGAGGAGAAGGAAGAUAAAUGGACUGCAACUGACGCUGAGGGACGAAAGUGUUGGGAGAAAACAGGAUGAGAUAAACGUGUAGUC